rnacentral:tRNA from 1 species
GGUCUCGUAGCUCAGUUGGUUAGAGUGCCGGCCUGUCACGCCGGAGGUCGCGGGUUCGAGUCCCGUCGGGACCGCUA